UUGUAAAUUUACUAAUAAUUGAACGUCAGGUUUUCGUAUAUGAAAUGGCAACUGAGUGAGAAGUUGAAUUGCAGACAUAUCCGAAACUUUUCUAUCUUGGAUUAAUUCUAAUAUAAACAAUGCAGCUUCUUUAGUGCCAACUUGUGGAAGUGCUUCAAGGAACAUAUUUCUAUAAUAAUAUGAAAAAAAUAACAAUAUAUUUUAUAUGUUAUAUAAAUUACUAAAACUUUAAAGAAUUAUUAAAAAUUUUGAACACCGUAUUGUUUCUUCUUUAUAACUUGUUCCUGAGAUUUUUGUGUAUGCAUUACGUAAAUCAGCAACAUCCAGCAUUUGAAGAUAAUAAAGCAAUACAGUUAUCGUCGUAUUAUGCAAAUUAUCAGCCUCUGUAUCUAAACCAGGAUUUUCAAGUCUCAGACUUAAUCGAUCUAAUAAAGUCCCUAGAUUUAAAAACAGUAUUCUUGUCAAGAGUACCUCUACUUUGAGUGAGAUCAACUUCUGGAAGUUCAUGUUGUAGAACUUUAAAAUAUAAGUCUUUAAUGGGUAUCUUAUCUACUGUGUCUUUCACCGAAAUUAAUUUAAAGAUCUGUCUGUGUAUAUCAAGAAAUUAAUAUGAAAGUUUUGUUUAUUACAACAAGUUUCUUAGAAUAAAAUAAUUUUCAUUUCUUAAACAUACCUUGUAAAAUGAAAAUGUGCUUCUCCAAAACUUUGAAAAGAUUGAACAUAUAUACCUCCAGAAGCAUUAACAAACAAAAUCUCAUUUAAAGAUCCAUUUGUCUUAAUUUUGUAUAAUCUCUCACUGGACUUCAAUAUUGGGUU
rnacentral:misc_RNA from 1 species